GCAGGUGCAGUUACAGCAGUCGGUCGUGUUUACAUUCGAAACGGUCGUAAACACCGCCUGUGGAGAGCAGCUCACUGAGCGAGCUUUAAAUAAUAAAUAGUAAAACUACACUGGGCUCCGGCGUCACGGAGUCGAUGUAUCGAUUCCCAGCUUCAGCGAAGGAGAGAGAUGGACACGAGCGAGUUAUUCACCAGCUGCAGGAAGGGGGAACUCUCCAGAGUUCGCUAUCUGGUUGAACAGAGGGAUGUGGAAUUAAAUGUCAAAGAUAAAUGGGACAGUACCCCACUGUAUUACGCAUGUUUAUGUGGGCAUGAGGAACUUGUUCAGUAUUUACUUGCCAACGGAGCAAAAUGUGAAGCCAACACAUUUGAUGGGGAACGGUGCUUGUACGGUGCUCUGAAUGAUUCCAUUCGGAGGCUUCUGAAGGACUACAAACAAAUCACUGCCAAGUCGCUGCAGAGAGAUUAUUAUGAUGAUUUUUUGCAACGAUUAUUGGAACAAGGGUAUUAUAGUGACAUUUCCUUCCUCGUUCAUGGCCAGACGUUCAGAGCUCAUCGCUGCGUAUUGAAUGCUCGCUCAACAUACUUCGCAGAAAUGUUUCAGACGAAAUGGAAGGGGAGAAAAGCGAUAGCCCUCAAGCACCCAUUGAUAAAUCCAAUGGCUUUCAGGGCAAUUCUGCAAUAUUUCUAUACAGGUCACUUAGAUAUUGAAGUUGAAAAUGUUGAAGAUUUUAAAAUCUUAGCAAAACAAUGCAAGUUAGAAGAGCUCAUCAGUAAAUUAGAAAGCAAGCGCAAAGAAGUGGACGAAUUUGUUUCCUCAAAGCCUGGAACCUGGGUGAAAGUAUUGACAUUAGAACCUGAUGAAAACUGCAGGUUGCAGGAUGAUUUGGCUAUACUUGCUGACUGUGCCCUGCCUGCUGAGCUGCGGGUUGGUUUUGGUGAACUGCCUUUUGACAGCACUGAUAACUUCAGCAGUUAUCCUGAUUUGAGUUUCCGAGUCGAAGGUUACAUCUUCCUGUGCCACAAGGCAUUUUUUUGCAGUCGUAGUGAUUAUUUCAGAGCCCUGCUGCAGGAUCAUUUCUCCGAAAGUGAGGAACUUCAGAGUCAACCGAGUAUUCCCAUGGUGACACUCCACAACGUAACAGAGGAUAUUUUCGUCCGAGUCCUUUACUAUAUCUACAGUGAUGAUACUGAGUUAUCCCCAGAAAACGUAUAUGAAGUUCUGUGUGUUGCUGACAUGUAUCUUCUGCCAGGCUUGAAGAGGUUGUGUGGAAAGACCCUUGCAACAAUGCUGACUGAGGACAGCGUAGUCAACAUUUGGAAGACCGCAAAGCUCUUCAGGCUUUCCCGACUUGAAGACCAGUGCACGGAAUAUAUGGCUAAAAUCAUAGAAAAGCUUGUGGAGUUAGAAGAGUUUGCUGAACUGGUAAAAGAGGAUGCUGCAGCUGUUGAGGCCCGACAGGAGACUGACUCCAUUCCCCUGGUCGAUGAUAUACGUUUCCAUGUCACCAGCAAUGUGCAGACCUAUAGUGCCAUCGAGGAAGCUAACCAGAAACUGAAAGCACUGGAAGAACUUUUGGCUAGAUUGGAACUUGAGUGUUAAGAGGAUAAUCGCUUUUCCAUUGUGACUAGUUGCAUAGAUCAUGUUGGAGAGCAGCCCUGGGAAGAAUGACCUUAGCCCAGGCAUCCAUAGCUUUCCUGAGAAGGUGAUGGUGAGCCGACCUUGUGAAUCAGUGCUAGGUUUUGGCUCAACUAUGAGACUGACUAGGCCAGCUGCAGAAAGCAACCCAGAAUCCAGCAUGUUGCGGAAAUGCAAUCACAUAAAUCAGCCAUUCAUGGGCACAUGAUGGAAUACUGUCCACUUGCCUGGAUGAGUGCAGCUCCAACAAUAAUCGAAGUUGAAAAACCAAUCUGAUUGGUACCCCAUCUUACCCACUCAACAUUUGCUCCCAUCACUGCUGGUAUUCACUGGCAGCAGUGUGUAUCUGAGAGUUGCAGUUCCACAACCUACUCAGGCUCCUGGCUCAGCAUAUAAACCUGAGAUCUCUAUCCCUAAAAGAACCAGGACGGGUGGGAACACCAUCAGCUGUAAGUUUCUCUCCAAAUCAGGCACCAUGCUGACUUGAGAACUGUAUCUGCAUUCCUUCACCAUUGCUGGGACAAAAUGCUGAAAACCUCUUCCGAACAGUGCCCUGGGUGUCUUUACACCACAUAGACUGCAAAAGUUCAAGAAGACAGCUCACAAUCUACACCUUGAGUAAUUAAGGAUGAGUGACAAACGCUGUCGAAGCAAGCGAUGCCCAUAUUCUGUGAAUAAAUAAGAAACUUUACGUUCCUGUAUGCUGUUGCCCGCAUGCAGUUUGUUUCUGGAUCAAGAAACUGCUUUAUUGAUCAGAAAGUCUUUGAUACUGCUUUAAUGGAAUGUGAAGUAUUAUGUACUUCCUUGCAAGUUUUAGCAAGUAAUUGUCGCUCUGUGGACUGGAGUCACCAAAAUGCUGGUUCGCCUCAAAUGGUAUUGGCACAAAUUCAGACAGCAGCAGUCAGCAUGAGAACAUAAACUGGAGUAGGCGAGAUCAAAAAUCAUGUGCACCAUUGGAACCAAAACACCAAGACAAGACUUUCCGUUUGAGAAGUGGAAAGCCUCAGCGAACAUGUCUUACUGAAUGGUCUUCAUCUUACCCAAACAGCAGAGGCAUUGUUCUCUUGGCCUGGAUACUGGUGCUAUUCUGGAUGGUAGCUGGAGCUUGAAAAUAACCCUUCCAAAUGACAAGCGCUGAUGCUUUAGAUGUUGGAAAAAUGAAGUGAGUCAUCUCAAUAUAAGCCAUACUGGUGUGAGGAGUGUAGGUGUCAAUUGUGUCACAGUGGGUAGCACUUUCAUCUGUUGAGUCAGAAGGUUUUGGGUUCAUGUCUUGCUCUCGGACUUGAGAACAAAAUAUUGACCGAUGCAAUAAUGAAGACAUGCAGAAGUCCUGGAGGUACCAUCUUUCAGAUGAGAUGUUGGAGUGGAGACCUCCUUUCAGGUGGAUGUAAAAGAUUGCAUGAAGAAGAAAGCAGGAUAUCUCCCUGGUAUCAAUACUUAACUCUCAAUCAGCAUCACAGUAAGAUAUAUGAUCAUCAUUGCAUUGUUCUUCACAGGCUUUGGUUCUGUGCAAAUUAGUUGUUGCAAUUCCUACAUUUUAACAAUUAUUAAGUACUUAACUGGCUGUAAAGCACUUUGGGAUGUCCUGAUGAUGUGAAAGGUGCUAUGUAAAUAGACGUCUUUCUUUCAUUUUAAGUGGAGUGUCAAGAUCCACCCAUCACAAUUCCAGUGUAAUGAAGAUUCCUGGGAUGACCCCUAACACACUUAUCUGUGCUAAAACUAGUUAAACAAUUAAACAGUCAGUACAGACAUGAAAGCACAAUGGGGUAAUUGAACAUCUAUGCUCUGAGAGUCUGUCGUUAUGACCUAUUUGGGAAACUGUGUAGAUUCUCAGGACCCACUUCUCUUGGAAACCACAAAUAUUCCUUGAUCUACUACAGUCACAAUAGGUCCAUAGCAAAUGCCAUCUCCUGACUCUACACUGGAACGUCUGGAUAACAGCUCACAUAUUAGCUCUGCCUUCAAUACCAGGGCUGGUCACAGGCAGUGUACUUUGCACAUGUAAAUAGGGGUAACUUGGUGACAGAGUACUGGUCUCUGUGCAGUUAUUUCAGUGGCGAUGGAAGAAAACAAUACGUGCCUGAAGAACAUUCACUCUCAACAGUCAUCUUUGAGUUGGUGCAAGCAUUUCCAGCGCCAUAAAAGAGAGCGAAAAAAGGAUUCCAACCCUCAACUUCCUGAUCCGCAGAUUGGCUGAUGAUGUUACCAUAGUGGGCUGAAUCUCAAACAGCAAUGAGACAGAAUACAGGAACGAGAAAGAGAAUGGCAUGAUUUAAAGACUAUAAUCUCUCUCUCAAUGAUUUCUCCCUUUAAUGUCAGCAAAAUGAAGGAGUUAGUCAUUGACUUCGGGAAGCAGAGUAAAGGAAAUACCUCAGUCUGUAUCAAUGGUGCUAAGGUGGAGAUGGCCCAGAGCUUCAUAGAGUCGUACAACAUGGAAACAGAGGAAGGGUCACUUGACCCAGAAAGUUAAUUCUGAUUUCUCUUCAAAGACGCUGCCAGACCUGCUGAGCUUUUACAACAACCAGGUUCCCAUGCUUAACAAGGACUGCUGAUGGUUAUAAAUACAGAAAUCUUUUUAUUACAAUUAAACAAAUAUGAACCAUCAACACAAAACUCUUACCUGCCUUUUAAACCUUUACAUGCACAUAGAUACAGACAAAAGAAUUGGUGUAAAGGGUGGAGGGGAGAAAAAAACUGGUGAACAUUUUCCAAUGGCAUCAAUCCACAUGGUUCAAUGUGACGUUCCUUUUGAUUUCCAAGAUCUUCUGUUCCUUAAUGUCCUCGCUCCAGAUUCUUUCGCUUCAUUGCAGGAGGCACAGGGGAAUUG